UACGUAGGGCGCAAGCGUUGUCCGGAAUUAUUGGGCGUAAAGAGCUCGUAGGCGGUUUGUCGCGUCUGCUGUGAAAACCUAAGGCUCAACCUUGGGCUUGCAGUGGGUACGGGCAGACUAGAGUGCGGUAGGGGUGACUGGAAUUCCUGGUGUAGCGGUGGAAUGCGCAGAUAUCUGGAGGAACACCGGUGGCGAAGGCGGCAUCCUGGACCAACACUGACGCUGAGGAGCGAAAGCGUGGGGAGCGAACAGG
rnacentral:rRNA from 1 species